UGAGGAAGAAGGAAAAGUUCAAGUUUGAUGACUCUCCUUUCCAGAUGUAGUGGUUAAAAUACAUAUCCUUUGUAUUAACUGAAUUUCUGAGAGUGUGCCUAUGACCCCUUAAUACUCUGGGAUCUCAACAUGUCAGAAUUUCAUUUUUGCAAUAGCUUUCAAAACCAUUCUCCCUGAUUCUAGUUUCUCCAUGUUAAAUCCAUUAGCACACAGCUGAAGUAGUUUAGUACCAUAGAGCUGCUCAGAGAAUGGACUCUGCAGUUGUACCACCAACAGCCAAAUCCUGGGCCUAUUACCCAUGCUGUGUGACACUGGAUAAGUUAUUUGGCUGGAGUCUCGCACUGUCGUCCAGGCUGGAGUGCAGUGGCGUGAUCCUGGGUCACUACAACUUCUGCCCCCGACCCCCUCAGGGUUCAAGCGAUUCUUCCGCCUCAGCCUGCUGAGUAGCUGGGGUUACAGGUGCCCACCGCCACGCCCAGCUAAUUUUUUUUUUAUUUUUAGUAAAGAUGGGGUUUCACCAUGUUGGACAGACUGGUCUCAAACUCCUGACCUCAAGUGAUCUGCCCGCCUUGGCCUCUCAAAGUGCUGGGAUUACAGGCGUGAGCCACCAUGCCUUUAAAAAGAACAUGAAGAAAGCCAUCUUCCAAAAAUUAAUUUAAUUCCCGCUAAUUUAAAUUUUAAUAACUACACAAAACUAGUGAUACCACAUUAGACAGCACAGUUCUACGUGUUGUCAGUGCACUCCCAAAGCAUGUAAGAUUAUGGUUUGCAAGAACUAUCUUGACUUACCAUACUAACCUAGAACAAACACACUUUUCUAUUUCCAGAAACUCGACAUAUAAAGUUUUAGUAUACAGUAAUACAACUGGCCUUUAGCUCUUUUUGCUUAUCUUAUCUCCUGUCAAUAUCUAUCUAGGGAUACUUCUUUGACAACCCCACUCCAACCUUCCCUAAUACUGUAAGAGAAAUAUGUACACAUAUUUAAAAGUGAAAGUGUCAACUUUCUAAAACCACUUUAUAAGUAAAAUAAAGUAAGAGGCAGAUAUCUAUGUUGUCUUUCGGUGCCCACGUCCAAGGAAGCAUGCCAGUAUGUAUCGUACCAUGUAAUAAACUGCUCUCAAUUCUGUCAAAAA